ensembl:lncRNA
GGCUGCGCCGUGGGGAGGGGACCUACAGGCUCAGCUCAGUCUUUCAAACAGGUCCAAACAAGAGGUGAUAAGGAACUGCACCAGCAGAUGAGUUGAGAGCAGCACCGUGAGACUAUCAGGAAGCAGAAGCGAAAGUACUUGAAAGCAGCUGGAGUGGCUGCCUGAUCUUAUUUCCCUGGUGGCUGUGUCUAUGUGACCUGACCCGGACAGACAGGGUGUCAUGGAAGCUGCGUCAUAUCAAUGGCAGUGCCCGAGGGACCAUGAACCCCUGCUUCUGGGAUCCCAAGACCUGACCUGGCACUGCCUCUCUGAGGCAUGGCACUUCCCCUGCAGGUCAUGUUGCUGCUCCAUGUAAUUAUCAUCUGGCGGCCAGCAGAGGAAAUGGGGUAAACCCUGAGGCGGUGGUGAGAUGGCCCCUGCAUUAUCUUCAAGCCAUCAAGCCAGGGAGGAACAAUAACCCUGCACAGAGAUGAAUCUGAGUUUGCAAGCUAUCAAGUGCACUGACCACUUUGUCCUCAACCACAUCUGAGGUCACCAAUCCUUUCCAAAUUCAGCCAUGAUGUUGGUAGAGCAGAUUUGCUGGGUUCUUCUUGGGGGCCCCACUACCCUUGUGUUUAAAUCCUUAGUAUAAUUCUCAUCUUUUCCUGCCCCCCUGCUGCAGGAAAUGAGAGCCUCUCUGUAUGCUGCAAAGGGGGAGCCCUGCUUUCACACUUCGCCUAAAUUAAUGAUGAUGUUUGCCGUCUCACUGCAAAGCAUAGAUUGUAUUCAUCAGGAACUAUCCAGUUUCAUUACUCUCAUAAUUACUUCUCCAACCUCUCAAAUGCCUGAGAAACUGCACCUGCCAGUUGCUUCCUCCUCCUCCUACUCUGUCCUUUUGUACUGUAAGUGAAAAUUUUUUUUUAAAUGGAGUUUCACUCUUGUUGUCCAGGCUGGAGUGCAAUGGCAUGAUCUCGGCUCACCACAACCUCCACUUCCCGGGUUCAAGCGAUUCUCCGGCCUCAGUCUCCCGAGUAGCUGGGAUUACAGGCAUGUACCACCACGCCCAGCUAAUUUUGUAUUUUUAGUAGAGAUGGGGUUUCACCAUGUUGGCCAGGCUGGUCUCGAACUCCUGACCUCAGGUGAUCCGCCCGCCUUGGCCUCCCAAAGUGCUGGGAUUACAGGCGUGAGCCUCCAUGCCUGGCCUAGGUGAAAGUUUUAACAGUUACUUUCCUAUAGAAUGCCAGAGGCCAGCCCUACUCCUCCUCACCAGUAAGGAGGACUUUACUGAUAGCCUGCUGGUGGGCGACGGAAUCCCGAAGUUCAUCUUAGAGUCUGCAUCCUCGGCCCGUUCCCAGACCAGCUCUUUCCGAUCAGGAAACACUGGGAAACACUCUGAUAGGGAGAUUGGUGUGGCGGUGGUUUACUGGAGAAGAGAGGCACAAGAACUAUCUCCACAACGGAACGAAGGCAGCAGGAUUGAGUAGAGGGAAAAAUCACUCAGACGCAGCAAAAGCUCUGCCUCAGCCAGUUGAUUCCACAGGGAGUUUGAAGCUGGGAUGACCCUUCGCAGUUGUCCCAAACCCAGGCAAGGGGGUUUGUCCUUGUCACCCUCAUAUUGACAAGUCAUUGGAUACGGCUGCCUGCAGUGGGGAGCACACAUCUUGGACAUCAGUUUUGUUUAUUUGUUUUUGCCUAAGGGCAAUUCUUGAAGCGCAAUUUAGUUGUGAGUUAUCAAGAGGCAACCUACAGUCUCAGCAGGUAUGGACACAGCGUGGUCCCUAAGGGGAGUCGAGGCAAGGCACCGCGUUUUCCACUGCAGGGAUCCCUGUACUUUCUGUGACUAGAGGGCUCAUCUGUUUGAAAGGCACCUUCAGACUGGAGAGGUGGAGGAGCCGGCAGGGGACAGAGGAAGGGCAGGGAAUCUGCCGUGUCAGGUUGGCUCCAUGUUCGAAGGUGGAAAGUGGAUGAGGAGCACGCAGCACAGUUGCUCUGUCCUAGAACGAAUUCUGGCUAACUAGCCAGGGCUCCCUCCUGGGAACUGAAAUACACGUGGCGCCCUACCCCAAUCUUAACUGCGAUCUAUUGAAUGAACUCAAAUAGUAAUAGUAGAGUCUCUGGAUUGAAAAAUCUCAUACUAUUUUAAUGUUCCUACUUUUUUUGUAUUUUCUGAAUUAUGAGAACAUGUAAUUUUUUUUAUUUACUUACUUAUUUAUUUUUAUUUAUUUAUUUUUGGGGGACAGGGUUUUGCUCUUGUUGCCCAGGCUGGAGUGCGAUGGUGUGAUCUUGGCUCACUGCAAACUCUGCCAUCCAGGUUCAAGCAAUUCUCCCACCUCAGCCUCCCGAGUAGCUGGGAUUACAGGCAUGCACCACCAUGCCUGGCUAAUUUUGUACUUUUAGUAGAGAUGGGAUUUCACCAUGUUGGUCAGGCUGGUCUCGAACUCCCGACCUCAGGUCAUCCACCCCGUCUCGGCCUCCCAAAGUGCUGGGAUUACAGGCGUGAGCCACUGCGCCCAGCCAGGACAUGUAUUAUUUUAAAGAUUUAAAGGUUCUAUGCAGAUGAGGAAGGUCUCCGAGAUCUCUGACAUCACCAAGGGAGAAGUAUGAGAUUAAGUGGACAGAAGAUGACUCCAAACAGUGAAUUAAUGGUGGAUCCUGGGGAAGAGUUAUUUAACGAAUGUGCUUCCAAACAUGAAGAUAAGACUUGGAUGUAUUGUAAGAAAAGGUGAUGAGGCUGACCUGGAUGGUGGUCAAUAUGGCCUGGCAAUAUUUUGCCUUUUGAGAGCGUCAAAGGACAAUAUGACAUGGUGGAAAGAUAGACCAAUAGUGUUGUGUUCACAUUUUGCAGGACAAUCCCAAUGCCGCUUAUCUAAGGAAACACUAACUUUGCCAUUUACAAAACCCAGCGGGGAGACUGGAGGACAUUUGAAAGCUGAGGGGAAUGGAGAACUAGGUGUUAGAGGUCACCAAGCACGGCACAGGCUUGAAGAAAUGUCUAUCAAUGAGCGUCUUGAUGCAAAAGCAGCCCUUGUCGUUCAGAGGCCGUUCUGAUGAGCAGUCCACACAACCUCUUCUACUGUGUAGAUUCGUCAUAAUUUCGGUUUGACUCUUCAGUUUAGUAUUUUUAAAUGCACUUAAAUUAUAUAUUUAUAUUUUAUAUACAUGGCAUAUAUAGUAUGAUCCCAGUUUUCUAAAAUUAUUUGUCUAUAAAACCCCUCUCUCACUCUUAACCUCCAUCUGUUUAUAUUUCUAGAAUGAAAUCUAAACUGAUAUUCAC